rnacentral:lncRNA from 1 species
UCUUUGGCCUAGCAGACCACUCAAGUGGUUGUCUAUUACGGCGUACACACAUCAGAAAACUUACAUUAGCAACAACUUUCAAGUAACAUACAUUAUCAUCUCAUGUUAUAGGCAUUUUAUCAUUUUGAUCCUGAGAGGAUAUUGCAGCCAGGAAGACGGGCCCUUCUCAGUAUGAAGGUCACGAUAACCAUGUUUUUAUCUUUAAAUCUCAAAUAAUAUAUCAGCUUGUAUUUCUAUCAGGCACUUGUCAAUACAGUUUUAUUACAUGUAGACUUUAUUAUCUAUGCCAAUAUAAAUCGACAACCAACAUAUCUGCGGAAGGAUAGC